AUGAAGCUGCGGGGUCUGAUUGAUCUUUGUCUCAUACUAUGUCUGACCUCCAACUCAAAUGGUCAAAUCUGGAGUAUUAAUGUCACUACACACAUCAAUGCAACACUGGGCGCAUCCAUGACCAUACCAUGUACAUUUACCUACCCGAAAAAACACCACACUAAGGAUGUUCAAGUUUAUUGGAAAAAGCCUGGUAAAACUAAAAUUAAAACCAGCGACAACGACAAGAAUCAGUUUGUCUUUCACACAAAUUCAACGUUUGUGAUUGAGAAGUACAGAGGAAAGACAAAUCUCAUUGGAGACAAAGCUAAUGGAGACUGUUCCCUCAAGAUCGUGAACAUCAUGGAAAAUGAACCGAAAAUCUAUGUGAGGCUUGUUGCAAAGGACCAGAACUACAGUUUCGUAAAUAAACCCGUCUCCAUUUUUGUGUCCGGUGCUGAAUCAAUCAAUCUUGGCCAAGGUGUUACAAGCCCCCCACUUUUUACCUUUGAACCCACACACAUAGUGACAACGCUGCAGACUUCGUACAUGUAUGCGGCCAUCUUUGCACCACUCUUGGCACUUCUCAUCAUCACUGUUGUCGCUGCAAUUUUCUGUCACGUAAGACGCAAAAGGUCACAUUCUGUCACCAGGGUGGAAUCUGGGUAUUAUGAAAAUUUUAGCGGAGCAUCGUCAAACCAAGCCAAAAGAGAAGCAUCCUGUGAAAAUCAUGAAAACAAAAAACUUUCUGAACUCAAGGUGAUUGACGACCCCAUCUACGUUAACACCGAGGAACUUACAGGUCACACAGAUGAAAGUACGGAUCAAACUCACAAUGUGUAUGGAAAUGUUGAUUAUUCCAAAUAGUACAAAAGCUGCAUCUCGCAAAUCUUUCUGCACUCAAACUUCUGUAUGAAAAUGCAACUUUUGAAUUCUGCAUUGUCGUGUGCACAUGUUCAUGUCUGUGCAAAUGAGGUGUAUAGGAAGGAUGACAACAAGUCUGACUCAGAAGGAAGAAAGACGACACAACAUCCUCAAAGAGAUUGAAGUGUACAUGUCAUUGCAGAACAAAGAACAGUAGAUUUGCAACAAUUUAUUAUUUACUGCCUUAACAUGGUUGCAGAAAUUGUGAGAGGCCAUCCAGGAAUGGUUUAUUAUAUAACAUGAACUUUUGUGCAAAAAAAUAUUGCCUGCAAGCAUGUUAGCAAGGCCCUUACCAGGACUGUAAAGAUUGUGGACUCUCAGGUACGGACCCAGGGCCUAUCAGGUAUUCAAGGACCUUGGACCAGAGCCUUGAUACCUGACAGGUAUCAAGUACACAGGGGGGCUCAUUUUCAAAUCAUUGGUCCUUGGCUAUAGGCUCGUAACAGGAGUUAGAAACAUGUAUUUAUAUUAUUUCAUAUGACAAUAUUUAAAGUUGUUUGCCAUUCAUGUAUAAUGCUGAAUAAACAAUGAAAUAAUUAAUAAUGUACAGUGUAAAAAUCGCCAAAAUCCCAAACCCUAACCCAGGAAUGUGUUUUAAGUGGAGAGCUUUAAGAUUCCUUGCUGAGCUUCCAGUGUAUAAAUGUCAAAAGUGUAUUAAAAAAAAAAAUCUGAUUUACCAGAUGAACCUUACCUGGUCUAGUCUUCCUAGAAAUCACAUCCAAGUUGGAUUUUGCAUCUCACAAUUAAAGUCCAGCAUAGAAUCGUUUUUUUUCAUGGUUUCCUUUUUAUUGUUUGUAUGUUGCAGUGCAAUGGGCGCUGAGGCAUGAACCUGUCACUAUCAAGCAGUUAGUACAUCGAUUUUGCGAGUUGUUUGCUACACCUCAUGACCAGUGUUCUUUUCUUCUCUGAAUCUAUUCAUGCAAUCUUUUCGACUAGUCUUAAGACUGCAGAGGGAGAACUCGUGACUGUAUAACUUCACUUGACCUUUUGGGUUUGGAAAAUGAGUACACAGUUUUUCAGAGUCUUUCUCAAUAUAACUGCAAAUGGAUUACCUGUUACAUCUAUUCUGGGGCUGAAGCUUCUGUUUGCUUUGUAAAUCCAGUCGCAUCUAAAGAGAUUGAAUUAUUACUUGGACUGUAAUGUUUGAGGACAUAAAUAAAGGCUUAACGAUGAUAAAGAAAAGUACAGGACAGUGUCACUUUGUUGUGUCAAUGUGUGUCUUCUUUGUGGCCUGGAGAAAAUGAUCUCAAAAUGAUGUUCGUGAGAAAACUGUGUGAGAUGGACAGAGUGAGAGUAGCUGUAUAAACACCAAAUGCUCACACUGUGGGCCCAACGGUUUGCAAAACAUUUGGCAACACUUGCAGUGUUAAAGGGUGAAACUAAACUGAAAGUAACACAUUCAAAGACAGUGUUUGAAAUGUGUGAUGCCAUCACUUCAGUGCUCGUAUCUAUGAGCCUAGAUGGUGACCAGCUUCCCCUUUUUCUUCCUUGGAUAUAUUUUUCUCCCUGACAAUUUACCAUUGACACACUUUCAAGCCUUCACAUUAACCCAGGCACAUGCAUGAAUGUUUGUAUUUAAUCUGCCAAAACAAUCUUGGAGACAACAUUGAAUAAUGUUUUAAUGAAUGAAUUAAUAAUAAUAGUUAAUAUGGCAUUAAAAUGACUCUUCUCUGGUGAUUUUUCUUUUACAAAAGCGUGUCUGUAUUGUGCUGCUGUGAUGAGACGAUGCAUGGUGAGCCUCAGCAGUGCACAGACAGACAGUAGCCUUGAGCUGUACUCAGCAGGAAACCAACAUUUCACGUCUUUAGCAGCUACCUUCUUUUCUUUCACACUGAUAAAGCAAAGAGGGAAGAGGACAUUCCAUUUAACAGUGUAACUUGUGAAACAUUGUGUUGUUAUUGGAUGACUGAUAUUGUAUAAAAAGCAAGAGUAACAUAUUUACAAGCAAAUUAUUAUAGUAGUUUAAUGGUGUUCCAUCACAACAUACAACAUAUUUUUGUUAAAUCAGAAAAGUAGACGGCAAAAAGAGAAAAAAGAACUACAAUCACAAGUGCAUCAAACAGUAAGUUGUUUUAAGACAUUAGUUUUGAAUUGUGAAUUACAGAACACAGGAAAAUAACAGCCUACUUCUGUGGUAUAUACAGAAAAUUAACCCAAAUCAUGUGGACAACACACAGAGAGACUGCAGCUGCAC
ensembl:lncRNA